GAUGAACGCUGGCGGCGUGCCUAAUACAUGCAAGUCGAGCGAACGGACGAGAAGCUUGCUUCUCUGAUGUUAGCGGCGGACGGGUGAGUAACACGUGGAUAACCUACCUAUAAGACUGGGAUAACUUCGGGAAACCGUAGCUAAUACCGGAUAAUAUUUUGAACCGCAUGGUUCAAAAGUGAAAGACGGUCUUGCUGUCACUUAUAGAUGGAUCCGCGCUGCAUUAGCUAGUUGGUAAGGUAACGGCUUACCAAGGCAACGAUGCAUAGCCGACCUGAGAGGGUGAUCGGCCACACUGGAACUGAGACACGGUCCAGACUCCUACGGUAGGCAGCAGUAGGGAAUCUUACGCAAUGGGCGAAAGCCUGACGGAGCAACGCCGCGUGAGUGAUGAAGGUCUUCGGAUCGUAAAACUCUGUUAUUAGGGAAGAACAUAUGUGUAAGUAACUGUGCACAUCUUGACGGUACCUAAUCAGAAAGCCACGGCUAACUACGUG
rnacentral:rRNA from 1 species